CUCAGUUGAGGGAGACAGAUGCUUUGAACCUGCUACAGCAGCAGAAGCCUGUUGCUGUCCUGAGGAUGUACUAGAGCUGCCAGACAUGCCAGAUGCUGAGGAGCUGCUGGUAUUGCCACUGGCAGUGGAGAUGCAGGAUGACCCUGGGAUUCAGGUACACCCUGAAGGGAGGAUAGGAAGUAGCCCAGGGACAGCCGACUAUCAUCCAGCUGUGUUGCUGCCUGAACCCAGGUCCAUAUAAAUGACAGAGGGAAACUGAUUAAUCAACCAAGGAUCCAAUUCACCACUACACAGAGGACCAGCCCUCUUUUGAGUGCUUAAGCAAGACUUAAGUGGUUAAUGGGCCUUGCUCUGGCACACAGGCCCUUCUAUUUCCUUCCACUGUGUGGCCCAAAGGAGAACAAAGCCAGGGAUAAGCUAAGGUAGGGCUUGAGGAAACAGAACGUGCUGUGUAGCAAGCUCCCUCCUUACCCUGCAGUCAUCAAUAUAACCAUGAAAAAGCUUCUGCUGAAAAGUUGCUGCAGUUCUGCCUUUUGCCCACCAGAGGACUCUGUGGUGAGAGAACACAGCAGCCACACCCAGCCAGCUAGGGAAGAGAAAGAGCCUGUCUUCUUCCCAAUCCAGGCAAUGUCAGGCCAGGUCAGGCGAGAGGGGCUAUGGAGAGACAGACAGUGUGUGGUGCUGUGGGGGUCAGACAGUGGCUCAUAAGGCCUAGUGGGGGAAGACAGACUGGGGCAGAGGCUGAAUGGGAGUGGAGGCACAGAGACACA